AAGCAUCUGCUGAUAGGCCAGGACUGACUCUUGUCUUCUCUGGCUUGCUUCCUGAUGCUAGAGCAACUUCCUUGUGCUUCCUGCCUGCCCAAUAAAAUGGCAGUUCAGAUUGAAUUGGGGAGAACAGCU